UUGUUGGGAUGCAAAAGGCAACCAUUGCAACAUUUCUCCAUGGAAGUCAACUUCCCACCAAAGAGAGAAGCAGCGAGCGUGUUACCUUGGCUAGGAAGACAGCAGCAUCCAACACAGCUUUGAUGUGACGCAGCCAUCCAGAAUUCUCCAGACCAGACAAAAAGUCAUUGACAGACAAACCCCUUGUGCCACUGACUGAAAGAAACCAAGAGUUAAAAAGCCUUAAAUGGUUGGAGCUACCUACACACUGCAAUAGAAGAAAGAAGGUUGUAUCUAAUCCCCUAUGCUCUAAGUUGAA